GACGAACGCUGGCGGCGUGCUUAACACAUGCAAGUCGAACGAAGUGGCGAACGGGUGAGUAACGCGUAAUCAACCUGCCCUUCAGAGGGGGACAACAGUUGGAAACGACUGCUAAUACCGCAUACUGAAGGGGGGGAUUGCGUCUGAUUAGCUAGUUGGAGGGGUAACGGCCCACCAAGGCGAUGAUCAGUAGGCGGUCCGAGAGGAGGAACGGGCACAUUGGGACUGAGAAACGGCCCAGAAUCCUACGGGAGGCAGCAGUGGGGAAUCUUCCGAAAUGGAGGAAAGGCGGACGGAGCAACGCCGCGGUAGUGAUGACGGCCUUCGGGUUGGAAAGCUCGGUUAAGCGGGAAGCGGUACCGGAAUAGAAAGCCACGGCUAACUACGUGCCAGCAGCCGCGGUAAUAC
rnacentral:rRNA from 1 species